rnacentral:rRNA from 2 species
UGCAAAAAUCAAAGUAUUGGAGGUCCUGCCUGCCCAGUGACAAGUUAAACGGCCGCGGUAUUUUUAACCGUGCGAAGGUAGCGCAAUCACUUGUCUUUUAAAUAAAGACCUGUAUGAAUGGUGAAACGAGGGCUUAACUGUCUCCCUUUUCAAGUCAAUGAAAUUGAUCUGUCCGUGCAGAAGCGGGCAUAAAAAUACAAGACGAGAAGACCCUUUGGAACUUAAGACAUCAGACCACCUAUAUCAAUGACCCCCUACACCCAGUUAAAUCUAAAUAGCAACUGGUCCUAGUCUUUGGUUGGGGCGACCGCGGAAUAAAACAAAACUACCGCGCAGACUGGGGCAACCCCCUAGAAUCAAGAGAGACAUCUCUAAACAACAGAAUUUCUGACCAUAAAGAUCCGGCCCUGCCGAUCAACGAACCAAGCUACCCAAGGGAUAACAGCGCAAUCCCCUUUAAGAGCCCAUAUCGACAAGGGGGUUUACGACCUCGAUGUUGGAUCAGGACAUCCUAAUGGUGCAACCGUUAUUAAGGGUUCG